GCAACUGAAAAAUACCAUAAACCCUGCGUUUGUUCUUAGUUUUUUCUCCACACUUCACUGACUCGGCUUUAAGGUGGAGAUCCUAGGAAUUGGGGAAAACGAAAAGCUAACCUAACGAAAAAAGUUCAAUCCUUCUCUCCACACUCAUUUUCAUCGGUUGUGAUUCAUCAAUGGACCAAGGAUAUGAAUUACCAAGAGAAUUGAAGCUAAAGAAGGCAUUCAAGAUGAUUGCUCGUACUUUGUUAACAGCAUGCUCUAGAGAGGAAUUCCUUGAGGCAUUUUCAGCAUUCCGCAGAGCAAAACAAGAUGUUCUAUAUCAGCUUUUUAUUCACGUAAUUGCAGAACUCCAUGAGAACAUUGAGGAAGAUUUUGAGUCGAUAUGUGCCGAAACACAGGUUGCUGCCACUUUUGACAAGGUAGAACAACUCGAAGAAGAGCAAAAACUAGACACUCUAGCACAAGAUAAGACAAAUUUACUUGAUGUCAAGCAAGAGUUGUCGAGAGCCAAGAAAGCUGAGAUUAGUUACUUGACAAGUGCCCUAGAAAAGCAGUACUAAACUAACUGUUCGUCCUUUAAAUGUCGGGAGACUUUUUAAUCAACUUCUUGCGAGACUUCUGCAGGCUGUUGCACAAAACCUCCAAAUGAAAACCCAUAUUGAAUCUCUCAAAAUAGACAGGCAAGACUAUUCUGCGACGCCCGAUGCUGUUAAAAAAUUGAGGAGCUGGUAUCAGAACUUGGGUCAGGCACCCUAGACCUAGAAGCAUUAAAUUGAUCUCAGAUAAUUAGCGGUUGACUCGAAACUUAGAUGCACUUAAAACUUUAUUAAGGGUAUUCGGUUUAAACCGUUCGGUCACUGUAUUCUGUACGUCAUUUUCCUGUAUGAAUGUAAAUUGUCAAUGUAAGAAAAGUAAGAGAAGAAGUUCCUAAUGCC